AUAAUUUUGAUUACACCUGUAUACUAAAAUUGGAAUGAUACGGAGAUUAGCAUGGCACCUGCACAACAAGGAUGACAUGCAAAUUUGUGAAGCGAGUAAAAAAUAA